rnacentral:lncRNA from 1 species
CCUUUGUGUCCUCAUAGCUUAGCUCCCAUAUAUCAGUGAGAACAUACGAUGUUUGAUUUUCCAUUUCUACCAAAUACAACAUGAAGCAUUAUCCAAGUAUGACCUGCACAUUCCCGGCCUCUGCCUGCAGGUGUUCUUUAAAUGUAAUUCUAAUUUCUUUUAAGGAUAUACAUGAAUGUUAUAUGAAAAGCCGAAUAGCUCUAUAAGACUUAUCAUGAAAAACAGCAGUUCCUGCCCCUGCCCUGAACCUCAUUCAUUUCCUCCCCUAAAGGCAUUUUCAACUCUUCUAGUUGUGUGUGUGUGUGUAUUUUUCAGCAUUAACCUUUGUAUUUCAAACUAUUAUAUCUCUUUUUCCAGGAUGGUGAAUUAGAGGCUUUUAGCAUGUCUUAGCCACUUGGAAAUUCAUAAAGAUAAACUCUGUGAGCUUUAAUUUAAGAAGAAAAAUGGGAAAUCCACAAGAAUUGUGAAGGACACCUCAGAUCCCAGGAAGGAGAAUUCAGGCAAAAAGCCCCCAUGCUGGCAUCAGGCGGAUAAGGAUUUCAGUCAAGGAGAUGCCUACCUGGGGACAGAAUCUGGAAAAGACCUCAAAAUAGAUCUUCUCAAGGCACCCGGAGGCAAACGAGGCAUAGACACACUAGGAUAAAAGCUGUCUUCAAGUCAGAGCCCUCCCUAGGGCUCCAGGCAGAGCAAAGGACCAGAUCUCCCCCUCUGCACUCCCCACCUACAGAUGAGCACCCAGGCAGGGGACACUCAAAGCAGGUGAAUGAGACAGGGGGGGCAUGCAGAAGCCUUGAUCUCCGAGUGGUCUGUGGCCGUGAGGUGGAGAGAUACAACUGCUUUGUCGAGGACCCAAGGGAAAACCGAGCCGUGGCUGUCUGAGUCUUAUCAAAGGAAAAACGCUCAGGUCCCCCGCAUGGCAAAGCUGGAGGGCAAGCACACAUUUGAGGUCAUCUGUACCCAUCAGCCUCCCAAGGCACAGGACAGGAAAAAAAGCACACAUAGAUCAGGAGGGAGAGAAGGAAGACAUCCAUUACACUGGA